AGCCGAGCGGUNASAUUCUUCGGANUCUUGMGAGCGGCGCACGGGUGCGGAACACGUGUGCAACCUGCCUUUAUCAGGGGAAUAGCCUUUCKAAAGGAAGAUUAAUGCCCCAUAAUAUAUUGACUGGCAUCAGUUGAUAUUGAAAACUCCGGUGGAUAAAGAUGGGCACGCGCAGGAUUAGAUAGUUGGUAGGGUAACGGCCUACCAAGUCAACGAUCCUUAGGGGGCCUGAGAGGGUGAUCCCCCACACUGGUACUGAGACACGGACCAGACUCCUACGGGAGGCAGCAGUGAGGAAUAUUGGACAAUGGGUGAGAGCCUGAUCCAGCCAUCCCGCGUGAAGGACGACGGCCCUAUGGGUUGUAAACUUCUUUUGUAUAGGGAUAAACCUUUCCACGUGUGGAAAGCUGAAGGUACUAUACGAAUAAGCACCGGCUAACUCCGUGCCAGCAGCCGCGGUAAUACGGAGGGUGCAAGCGUUAUCCGGAUUUAUUGGGUUUAAAGGGUCCGUAGGCGGACUCSUAASUCAGUGGUGAAAUCUCACAGCUUAACUGUGAAACUGCCAUUGAUACUGCGGGUCUUGAGUGUUGUUGAAGUAKCUGGAAUAAGUAGUGUAGCGGUGAAAUGCAUAGAUAUUACUUAUAACACCAAUUGCGAAGGCAGGUUACUAAGCAACAACUGACGCUKAUGGACGACAGCGUGGGGAGCGAACAGGAUUAGAUACCCUGGUAGUCCACGCCGUAAACGAUGCUAACUCGUUUUUGGGCCUUCGGGUUCAGAGACUAAGCGAAAGUGAUAAGUUAGCCACCUGGGGAGUACGUUCGCAAGAAUGAAACUCAAAGGAAUUGACGGGGGCUCGCACAAGCGGUGGAUUAUGUGGUUUAAUUCGAUGAUACGCGAGGAACCUUACCAAGGCUUAAAUGGGAAUUGACAGGUUUAGAAAUAGACUUUUCUUCGGACAAUUUCAAGGUGCUGCAUGUUGUCGUCACCUCGUGCCCUGAGGUGUUAGGUUAGUUCYGCAACGAGCGCAACCCUGUCANAGUGCCAUCNUUCGUUGGGGAYCUAGUGAGACUGNUUCCCCAGUAAAAAGAAGGGGGGAUGACGUCAUCUUCCGGUCCUUACCCUUGGNCCACCCCUAUAAAUGUCAUUCCGAGGCACCUCCCCGUAAGGGNNCAAUCNAAAGCUGGCUCAUUCCAAUGGACUCGCACCCAACUUUGAACCCGAACCUUAUAUUCUGAUAUCCCUUGGUGGGAAAUUU
rnacentral:rRNA from 1 species